rnacentral:rRNA from 1 species
AUGGAGUUCGAAAUGAUGAGCCAACAAGGGGCGCUGCUCAAAGUGGGGCUGUUCGUGUUGGUGCAGGCGCUGGUGUACCUCAUCCUUGCCCAGUCCUCCUCAGUCUUCUCCACCACCAAGACCCUCGGCCUCCCCCCGGCGCGCUCCCUCAGCGCCCGCCGCAUGGUCGCGCUGAUCUCCGACCUGCCGCUGCUGCUGGGCGGCGAGCCCUCGCCCCGCGCCGUCUCCGUGGAGCCGUCGUCGCCCGUGCCCCUCGCCCACCAGAAGAAGGAUUCGUUGUUAACCAAGCGCGACUGGCGGCAGGGACACGGACCGAGCUAG